rnacentral:rRNA from 1 species
GAGGGGAAUAUUGGACAAUGGGGGGAACCCUGAUCCAGCCAUGCCGCGUGUGUGAAGAAGGCCUUUUGGUUGUAAAGCACUUUAAGCGAGGAGGAGGCUACCGAGAUUAAUACUCUUGGAUAGUGGACGUUACUCGCAGAAUAAGCACCGGCUAACUCUGUGCCAGCAGCCGCGGUAAUACAGAGGGUGCAAGCGUUAAUCGGAUUUACGUGGCGUAAAGCGCGCGUAGGUGGCCAAUUAAGUCAAAUGUGAAAUCCCCGAGCUUAACUUGGGAAUUGCAUUCGAUACUGGUUGGCUAGAGUAUGGGAGAGGAUGGUAGAAUUCCAGGUGUAGCGGUGAAAUGCGUAGAGAUCUGGAGGAAUACCGAUGGCGAAGGCAGCCAUCUGGCCUAAUACUGACACUGAGGUGCGAAAGCAUGGGGAGCAAACAGGAUUAGAAACCCUAGUAGUCC